GCAACCUGAAGCUGGCGCACGGCCAGCUCGCGGUGUUCCGCUCGCUGCUGGGCAUCUCGUGGAUGUGGUUCUUCGGCGCGGUGUUCCUGGCCAACUUCCCGUCGUUUGCGAAGGAAGUGCUG
rnacentral:ncRNA from 1 species